rnacentral:rRNA from 1 species
UACGUAGGGUGCAAGCGUUGUCCGGAAUUAUUGGGCGUAAAGAGCUCGUAGGCGGUCUGUCACGUCGGCUGUGAAAUCCCGAGGCUCAACCUCGGGUCUGCAGUCGAUACGGGCAGGCUAGAGUUCGGCAGGGGAGACUGGAAUUCCUGGUGUAGCGGUGAAAUGCGCAGAUAUCAGGAGGAACACCGGUGGCGAAGGCGGGUCUCUGGGCCGAUACUGACACUGAGGAGCGAAAGCGUGGGGAGCGAACAGG